AUGCAGAAAGAUUACUGGACCAAAAGUAGACAGAAAAAACUAAUAAUUAACGCUUCAUAUUUAUUUAUUAUAAUGUGGCAAAAACAAAAAUACUUCCUGAUAAAAAAAUAGAAAGGCAUCCAAGUCUGCCACGCCAGAUAGUCAACCAUUGGGAGUUAACAAGUUCUGAAAUCACCUGGCUUUCCUUAUGGAUAGGAAGGACAAAUUCAAAACUUUGUUUAAAUUAGAAGAGAUUUAUGUCAUCUCUUAUUUAAACACGUAUGUUCAAAAUUAAAUUCCAACGUAGGAAUUUGGUUAAGUUAAAAGAGAUUUGUGUCGUAUCAUCUUAGCGUUUUCCUUUUAAAACUUGCCAUUUUUAUCUGUGCUAUAUGUUAAUGACUAAAAUUCGUCACAUUUCCUCUCAAAAUUUGAUAACAAUUUAAAUAGUUAACACAAUUUAAAUAUAUGGUUAAUUAUAUCUAAUGAUUAUUUGAUGAAUACAGCAAGAUGAUGUAUAACCAAUUAACCAUAUUAAUUUAACACAGUUAACCAUGAUUUUAAACAUGAGUAUGAUUUUUAGGUGUACAAAUACGUACACACAUAUAUAGUCGGGAUCAUUGACACCAAUAUGGUGGAAAUGUAGUUAUAUACAGUCCGGGUUGUCAAAACCCUCGAUGGGAAGCUUGUUUACCGACAACUAGGAAGAGAGCUAGUGGACCAAAAUGCAUUGUUAAUGGAAAGAGGGUUCAUAAGGGGGGAUUCCAUGUUUAAGGCCCACAGAGUACAAGAGAUCAAAGUUACCUAGAAGCAGAAGGAUUGUAAAAUUUGCAUAUGGUGGUGUUUUAUCUGGUGGUGCUGUUCGAGAAAGAGUCAUUCGAGCUUUCUUGGUUGAAAAGCAAAAGAUAGUCAAGAAUGUUUU
rnacentral:lncRNA from 1 species